GUGUCCACUUUGGCAGCACAUGUACUAAAACUGGAACAAAACAGAAAUUAACAUGGUCCCAGCACAAAGACGGCAUGAAAAUGUGUGAAGCAUUCCAUAUUAGA